rnacentral:lncRNA from 12 species
GCUCCCAGCAAUGCCGUGGAGCUCCUGAAUGCAGGGCUGCUUUGAUCCGUCCCGGGUCCUUGGGGCCUCCUCGCUGUCUGAGGGUGCCCGGCGGGAGGGGUAUGGGUGGGUAGGUCAUGGGAGCUAGUACGCGAUGGGAGAAGCCUCACUGGACACCAGCUGUGUGCCUCUGGCAGGCCAUGCAUCCUCUUGGGGCGUUGGGGUGCUGCUCUGGAAGACAAAGGGUUUGGCUAGAUGGGGAGUCCCCAGAAAGUAGUGACCCGAACAGUCCCUCCUCUGGGAAUUUUGUUACAGGUCAGAUUUUGGGUCCUAGCCCUGGAGGCUCUGAUUCCUGGGCAGGGCCCAGGAAUCUGUGUUUUCGAUGACCGGCCAUCCUUGGCUGCGGAAAGACUGGACAAGGUGAACUGUGAGGUCUCCACAGCUUCCUGAGUCCCUUGGAUCUAAAUUCAGCUAAGCAAACUGAGGCAAAUCAGCUGAACAAGGCCUUCAGGUGCCCCAGCCAGAGAACCGUUUCUGCUCAGCUGUCAUCUGCUCCCUUUCAUGCCUCCCUGGGCUGGCACAGGACUGGAUCCUCCUGGGUGUUGUCCUCCAGGAGUGCAGGCCUCUCCCAGCAUGUGACCUGAAACCGAAGCUAGUUUAUAGAGAAAAAACCCACCGGCAGCGGAGUUGACAGCUACGGAUCGCGGCUGUCUCCG